GACGAACGCUGGCGGCGUGCCUAAUACAUGCAAGUAGAACGCACAGUUUAUACCGUAGCUUGCUACACCAUAGACUGUGAGUUGCGAACGGGUGAGUAACGCGUAGGUAACCUGCCUGGUAGCGGGGGAUAACUAUUGGAAACGAUAGCUAAUACCGCAUAAUAUUAAUUAUUGCAUGAUAAUUAAUUGAAAGGUGCAAUUGCACCACUACCAGAUGGACCUGCGUUGUAUUAGCUAGUAGGUGAGGUAACGGCUCACCUAGGCGACGAUACAUAGCCGACCUGAGAAGGUGGUCGGCCACACUGGGACUGGGACACGGCCCAGACUCCUACGGGAGGCAGCAGUAGGGAAUCUUCGGCAAUGGACGAAAGUCUGACCGAGCAACGCCGCGUGAGUGAAGAAGGUUUUCGGAUCGUAAAACUCUGUUGUAAGAGAAGAACGGGUGUGAGAGUGGAAAGUUCACACUGUGACGGUAUCUUACCAGAAAGGGACGGCUAACUACGUG
rnacentral:rRNA from 1 species